CGGUGAGACAAGGGCAAAUAGACUCCAGCUAAUGAUACAAAGUGUGGGUCAAGUGGGUCUAGGAUGUUUGCAGUCGUUGCUAUUAUCAGUCAUUUGUUACAAGUCUUAAUGUAUCACACCAAGUAUGUGACAAUUCUGUCCCAGAGUUUCUCACUGGUUCUACUUGAAAAGGAGAGAGGUCCUAUACCAGUUUCAAGUCUAUCCCUCAGAGUGCUUAGAUUUUGGUGGGAAAGUCACACACAGACACGUAUGUGACAUGUAAGGGAUUCAUGUAAAAAAAUCAACACAACUACACCAUGUCAGCAAAGUCAUUUGGUAACUAGGCUGAUAAGACAGCUGUUUUACUAUCCACACCUUCAUAUUAGACCAAUCCCUCUUACUGAUGUCAUUAUCUCAAAAUAAAUGCUUUUAAAAAUCAAGUUUGAUCAUGUAGACAGGGCAGAUGAUUCAAAUAAUGAAAAUGUAGAAUAAACUCUAGAUAAAUGACUUGCCUUUGCUGUCAUGAAUUUCAGCCAGUUACAAGUUUUUAAAUAUCAAACUCCACUUACAUACACAAGUCCUGACAUAAUCCACUCUGCCAUUAUUUAAAUGAGACACAAAUUCCUGUCAAACAUCAAAACUCCUGAAGAAGAGAAACAAGAACUGUCUGUUACAUCAAAACACCUGUAGUGCCUGACCCUCUCUACUAAGUAAAUACAUAAUACUGCCCACUAGCUGUAGAAGGCAUUAACAUCCUUUUGGAAGCAGGAUGAAAAGCACAAGCAGAUGAUGGCUCCAAUGGUUUCAGUUAAGACUCCUCAGAAGUGCUUUUAGGCCAAACUGGAAGAAUAGUGUCCCCUAUACUGGUACUCUGUACCAGCUAUGCUCCUUUGUUUAACUGGUGAAUAAUUAAUUCCUGUUACCUAAUGGCCUAAAAAUUUCAGUUUAAGUCAUAUUGCAUUUGAACAAUAAGAUGAGAGCAAAACUGACAGAAGGAAUGGAUAGAAAUCAAGUGCCCCGAAAAUUGCUGGUGAAACGACCCAGUUUUAUUAUAUGUAUCUCUGGAAAGGACAGAGAAACAUGUUAUCCAUCAUCUAUAGUAAUGUGUUUGUGAACUCUGUUCAGGUCUUUGAUAUAUUGUAAAUUAUAGCGAUACAUAGCUCCUUCUAGAAAGGGUUACAGUGUUUUACAAUCACAUCUCACACUAUAAAUUGAUAUUGACACCCAGGCACUCCCUACCACCUCCAGUUCAGGACAAGGAGAUCUGGGGUUUCAGACCAGAAGAGCACAGAGAGAGUCACAAGAACACUGCUUGAAUGUGAUUCACAAGAAGUCAUGACACUGGUCAAAAAGAAGCAUGUCUCAGUCAAAAUUAAAUUGCUGGCAAAUUUCACAACAAGUGUAUGAAGAGAUCUGUCCCUCUACUUAAUAGGACUGUCAGCUGCAAGCACGGAAGAGUCACUCAUCUACAGACAGGAUUUACUGUUCCUUAGGACAGCACUGUCUUCCAAAGCUGCAUGACAUCCUAUUCCAAAGCAAAGAGCACAUAUUCCCAUUCUUUCCUAUAAACUGAUCCUUACUGACAAAUAUUGACAGGUGCACCUGAAAUAUUAAAACUGGGUUUACAUAUAAUAGAGCUCCA